GCGGGUGUAGUUCAAUGGUAGAACAUCAGCUUCCCAAGCUGAUAGCGUGGGUUCGAUUCCCAUCACCCGCU
rfam:Chromatiales bacterium TSCg_Taylor scaffold_51, whole genome shotgun sequence.